UUGUGCAAUAUUUGGUUCAUAUUAUUGAUAAGAUAUUUUUGUUAAGGUUAUCUUGACAAUUAUUGGCAUGCAGCUAUCAGGAAGAAGUUACCAACAUCAAUAGCUUUCAUCUUUGUGACAAACUAAUAAUCUACACAAGAGACAAAUGGCUAUGCCUGCAAUUAAGGAUAACCAAAUUACAUAUAAGUGCUAGUGGGACAAAUGAUGAUAUAGAAUUCCUAAACAUCAUCAUUUGCAACUGCAUUUUGUUUACUUCCAACUUAUGAAGAAUAAUCUUAUUUGCAAAUGAUGAUGGGAGGCAGCAUAUAUACCAGUUACUGCUGAUAAUCUCACUGCACAAAACACAAACAAACAAACAUGGAGCGAGACUUAUAAAUUGGAUCAUAAUUUAAGCACCUAUAUUCGAUUCCGGAUCUACCCAUGGAGGGUGUAUGUGAGAGACAGAGAGAAACCAUGGUUAGAUCUGAAAUAAUAAACCCAAAAGUAACGGUCGUCGAUAUGAAUUUGUGUGUUUGAAAAGCAAGUAUGAACGCAAAAGAAUACCUGACGAGGUCCAUUUGUGUGGUGAGAGAAGAAACCAUGCCAAAUCUGAAAUAAUAAUAAACCCAAAAAUGCAUUUAUUCACAUAUCCGUGUUAGGGUUUGGCGAUGGUGGUUUAGAGCAGAGAAACAGAGGGAGAGAAGAAACCAUUUGGUAACAGUUUUCAAAUAAAUGGUUGGAGGGGUAAACAAAGAGCUGGUGGGCUGUCCGGAAUACUAUGCAUUAAGGGUUGUAAAUUUUUAAGAUUUUAAGACAUUUUAUGCUCAAGAGGCUUCUAAUUAUGUAUAAAUUCAUAUGAUGAAGUUAGCAACUUAAACUAUAUCUAAAAAUGUUAUUGUACUAAAAUAACAACUUACAUCGCAAACGAAAUGAAUCGAAUUGAUAUUGGGUUCGGUUGAACCAAUCUUUUAUGGUGAAAAAUACGAAUGAAAUGGUUAUUUCCAGGAUCAACA
rnacentral:lncRNA from 1 species